GAAAAAAAAAAAAAAAAAUUAAGGGUGCGUUCCAGUUACUGACCAAAAGAUAUUCAAAUUUGAUUUUAUAAGCAACUUUUUGUUUUCAAUAUUGGUUACUACAUUCUGAACCCAGGCAGCGUCCUAAAUUUCCAAUAAAGCACAAAGACUCUUACUGUUUUUUUUACAGCGUCCGAAGGCCUAUCAACGGUUCAACACCAACAGGACAUUGAAACUCCUAGCGUUCCGCCAACCAUACAGCAUGGUUGGCCUCAUUCUUGUCGAUUUUGAUUGAUUUAGUCUCGAGUUGGAAAUCGUGGCGUUGUCUCAAUUCAAUCAUUCAAGUGAUAAAAGCAUCAAAAUUAUCACACAGCUACAAGCUAAAUGACAAACUUUAUUCCCGGACAAGACUCCUCACAUUGGAUGUUUAUUGCCCAUAUAAAAAUGUGGAUAACAAGAGUGAUCAUUUCUUCACUUGAAAGUCGACUGAUUGCUCUGCAAUUCGUCUCCCCCAUCCAGCAACUUCUCCUUCUCUGCACCCUCCGCCACAACAGGUUUUGCUUCUCCAAUGCUCUGCGAUCCUGUCAACCUUGCCAGUAUAACAAAAGACAUCCCACCCAGAACGUUGUUCAAGCAUCUAAGAACCACCACUGAGCUCUUGAACGCCAGAGGAGACAGCCCCUUCUGUAGCAAAAACUCUAUCCCGUUCAGGGUUUGGUAUCUCAAGUUGCUGCUAAUGCCCAUGUGAAGAGCCCAUGUCACUGCGUUUAGAACUGUUGGAGGUGGCUUGUUUGGCGUCUCAAAAGUUGGAUCCAUCUUCUUCCUCAUCGCAAUCAAGCCAUUUGAGAUUGCGGUUCCUACCAGUCCGGCGGCGAAACCAACAGUUGCAAAGAUGGUACCUUUGUACACAAAAGUACCCAGUCGAUUCAUGAGGGAAAAAGCACCGGGCUCAAACAUGUGGCUCGUUGGGCAAUUUGCGAAGAUGGCAGGGAGAGUGGUACUUGCAGCAGACGCAGUAGGUGCCAAAAGGUACAUGAGAGUGAAAUUCAUUAUGGAACCAACGACCAGAGUCGAGAAAACGAAGUCAAGUUCAUUGAGUCCAAAAUUAGGACGAGAAGCCAUGUCACCAAGAACACAAGCGGAGACACCCACCAAUUCCUCCAUUAGAACCUUGAAAGGGAAUUGUGGAUCCGCAGCCACCCUUGAUCGCCAUCCAUUCAGGAAAUGAGCAAGAAUCCCAAAUCGCGAGGAUGAUGAAUUCUCGAAAUUGGAAUCACCACUCCAUCCUCCACUUUCGCCGCCGCCGCCGCCGCCAAAUCCCCGACCAAUUCCACUGUUGCCAUUGCCUCCACCUUCUGAAAACUCAAGCUUGGAAGGUUUCGGGUGAGGAAGAAGGCGGAGCGAAUGAUUUUGAGAAUUGGAAAAUGGGUAAGAAACAUUCGGAUAAUUAGGAUUGGAGGCACGGGAAUUCUGGGAAGAAGAACUUGAGUAUUGCCUAGCCAAAACAGAGCAACGAAGCUGGGCCGCAGUUGCCAUUUUUUGAAUCAAAACUCCUAUAUAAAGCGAUAAGGAUUUGCCGCCAAAGGAACAGAAAAGAUCACCCAGAUAGAAAAGAGAGUAUAGUGAAGAGUGAAAAUGGAGGAAGUAGGUGACAGAUCAAGGUGGUCCUUGAUCGGCCGGUCACUGUAACUAGCCAAACAAUCAAAAUCUAAAAGAGAUCUUAAUCAGGGGAUGAAGGAACCGGGAGAAAAGGAUAUGUGGGUAGCUGCCAUAAGCAAUAAACAAAAUGGGAAUAGAACAGCCGGAGAAUCAACGCUAUCGCGGAGAGUCACACAGAUGCUAGCAGCGGAGACGACAAAAAUAUAUAUAAGCGGGGUUGG
rnacentral:misc_RNA from 1 species